AUUGAACGCUGGCGGCAGGCUUAACACAUGCAAGUCGAGCGGAGUGAUGGUGCUUGCACUAUCACUUAGCGGCGGGCGGGUGAGUAAUGCUUAGGAAUCUGCCUAUUAGUGGGGGACAACAUCUCGAAAGGGAUGCUAAUACCGCAUACGUCCUACGGGAGAAAGCAGGGGAUCACUUGUGACCUUGCGCUAAUAGAUGAGCCUAAGUCGGAUUAGCUAGUUGGUGGGGUAAAGGCCUACCAAGGCGACGAUCUGUAGCGGGUCUGAGAGGAUGAUCCGCCACCAUGGGACUGGAACACGGCCCAGACUCCGACGGGAGGCAGCAGUGAGGAAUAUUGGACAAUGGGGGGAACCCUGAUCCAGCCAUGCCGCGUGUGUGAAGAAGGCCUUAUGGUUGUAAAGCACUUUAAGCGAGGAGGAGGCUCUUUUGGUUAAUACCCAAGAUGAGUGGACGUUACUCGCAGAAUAAGCACCGGCUAACUCUGUGCCAGCCGCCGCGGUAAAAC
rnacentral:rRNA from 1 species